GGGGGUAUGGCUCAGUGAUAGAGCAUUUGCCUAGCAUGCACAAGGCACUGGGUUCAAUCCCCAGUACCACCA